rnacentral:rRNA from 1 species
AUUGAACGCUGGCGGCAUGCCUUACACAUGCAAGUCGAACGGCAGCGCGGGAGCAAUCCUGGCGGCGAGUGGCGAACGGGUGAGUAAUAUAUCGGAACGUGCCCAGUAGUGGGGGAUAGCCCGGCGAAAGCCGGAUUAAUACCGCAUACGACCUGAGGGUGAAAGCGGGGGAUCGCAAGACCUCGCGCUAUUGGAGCGGCCGAUAUCAGAUUAGCUAGUUGGUGGGGUAAAGGCCUACCAAGGCAACGAUCUGUAGUUGGUCUGAGAGGACGACCAGCCACACUGGGACUGAGACACGGCCCAGACUCCUACGGGAGGCAGCAGUGGGGAAUUUUGGACAAUGGGCGCAAGCCUGAUCCAGCAAUGCCGCGUGCAGGAAG